ensembl:lncRNA
UCUGACUGUUGGUAGGAGAUGAGAUAUCCUGGUGACACCUCUUCGUUUCCAUUGUCUAAAUCCUUGAGUGCUUGAGAGGCGAAUGGGGCUCGCGUCAGACACGGGCAGGUUUGUAUGCCAGUGGCCAUUGUGCCCUUGGCCCAGAGUGCUGCGUUGUGCCCUUCUCCCCGAGUGCUGCAUGCCCUGAAGCACCUCUCACUCACAUGGCUCUCCAUCACGUGAUCGGGUCUUUCUCACAGGCUACAAGUGAAGACAGACACAUCGGGGACGCAACUGCGUUGCGUCCUUAUCCAAUUCCGAGUGCAGCAAUGCUCCCCAUCCAACCUGAGAGCGCAUGAGAGGAUCUGCAGAGAAUAAUUGGAGAAACUCUGCAAAUAAAGGUGCCAAGCUUGUAGCAUCAUACCCAAGAACACUCGAGGCUGUAAUCGCUGCUGAAGGUGCUUCAACAAAGUACAGAGUGAAGGGUAAAUGUGAUAUUUCAUUUUUUUUCUCUAAAAACCUGUUAUGGGAUAUUGUGCGUAGAUUGAUGAGGGGAAAAAAACUAUUUAAUCCGUUUUAGAAUAUGGAUGUAACGUAACAAAAUGUUAAAAAAGUCAAGAAUACUUUACGAAUGCACUGUUACCUAUCCCCUUACUUACUACUACUACUACUUACACUGACACCCCAACACACAUUACAUAUGCCCACACACAAAUACAACUUUCCCAUUCACCACAUACGCUGCUGCUACUAUUCAGUCUAUUAUAUAUCCUGUUGCCUAGUCACUUCACCCGUACCUACUGUAUAUGU